UGCAACGGGGAGGAAGCGGCGGGGACGGGUGCCAAGGAGCAGAGCGCAGGCGCUUCUGGGCGCCAGGAAGCUCAGUCUAGCACAGCAAAGUGGCAAAAAGGAAGAACAAAACAGCCGUCUAUUUAGAAGAGUAACGACAGGGAAAAAUACAUUUUCAUCAGCUCGUCUUCUCGCGGCUGAGUCCCCGCAGCAAGCUCCAAACGCCGACGUUAGGAAAUAAAUCAAAAUAACUUUGCUGUGUUUAGCCUCGUGUUGCCGCGUCCCUCAGCUCUGCGCUGAAAAGCAACAGUGUACCAGGCACUGCGCUCAGCUCGGAAUAAGGAAAUGGAUUGACCUCGGCCCCUGCUUUCAGGAAGUCGACGGUCAGAUGAAGAACAUGGUUGUUUAAGUAAACUUUAAAAGCACAGCGGAGGAUGAUGGUACAACAGCAAAGAGUUUUUCAAGACACAGAAGCAGCGUGGAGGAGCAGCUGACUACGUUAGUCCUCUUGGAGGGUGAGGCAGGGAGGGCUUCCCGGAGGAGGUGAUAUGUAAUCUGAGUUUUACAGGAGGAACAGAAGUUGCUGUAUGGAUAGAAGGGGCAGUGCAGGGAACGGCAAGUGGAAACAGGCCCUGGGGUGGAGGAAACUCCUGAAAGGACCGUGAGCCACGCCAAGGGGUAAGGUGGGGCCACGGAUGGGGAGGUUGUGAGGGGGAGAAAGUGGUUGAUUCUAGCUUGGAAGCUUAGGGGUGCUGGGGUAGGGAGCCCAACAGGUCAGUCUAGUGAGGGCAAGAGAGCCACGUGUUCUCUGAACCUGGGUUUCUCAGCCUUGACACCACUGACAGUUUGGCCCAGAUAAUUUUUUGUUGUGGGGGCCGUUCUGUGUGUGUCGUAAGAUGCCUGACAGCAACCCAGCCUCCUCCCACUUGGUGCCCGUAGCACCUGCCCUCUCCCCCUCCCCACCCACCUGCAUUUUGACAACCAGAAAUGUCUCCUGACAUUGCCAAAUAUCUCCUGGGUGUCAAAAGUGCCCCCGGUGGGAAACCGCUGCUCUAGACUCUCAUCGUGUAGGAGAGAAGGAGAAACACGCAAGAAACGGGAGGCAGCGAAGGCUCGGAGACGUCGAGUAACUGCCCAAGGUGCACAGGCAAGAGAAAGCAGAGCGGGCAGCAACCCCAGCGACACCAGCUGAGAGCCGGCUGCUCCCCGCCCUCCGGCCCCUGACCCCUUGGGGCCCAUUUUUCAGAGGGAGAAGCAGAGGCGCAGAGACAAUGAACAACCCGAGAGGCCACAGAGCAAAGUGGGUAAGGGCCCUGGAGCUGGAUUGGCUCAGGCCCCGCUCCUGCCACUCAGUAGCUGGGCGCCUCCAGGAGAGGGCUUAGCCUCUGUCUGCCUCGGCUUCCCCACCUGCCACAUGGGGAUAACAGCCCCUGACUUACAGAAUGGCGCGGAUGCUAAGAGCUGAGAGCUUGCCGGCAGGCGGCAAGCUCAGGCCGCGUGAGCUCGACCCCGCGAGCUCAACCGUGCGGCGCUGGCGCCCAACAGGGCAGGCGCUCUGCCCGGGGCCCUUCGGCCGCUCGGCACCUCCUCUCGGAGCCUCCUUUGGAAGGUUGCUUGGUGGCCUGUGUUCCUCUCUGAGUCUGGGGUGUCGUGGAGGCGGUUCUCAGCCCCAGCCUGAGCCACAUGUCACCAGUAGGGCACAGCCUGUGGUUUGUGGGUGCCCCGGCCCGGCAAGCCCCAGAAACCUGCCCCAGAGGCCCAGGGCCCUCUGGGGCAGGUCGCAUGGGGCUGGGAACCAGGAGGCGGCAUGUGGAGGAUGGGAACAGGGCUCAGCCCUGGUGAAGGGCUGGAGAGGUGGGGUGGGGGCAGAUGGCAGAGCAGGUCUGGGGGCGGCCUGUGCAGAGGCCUGGGCAGGUUGGAGUGCCAGGCCGCCUGCCAGUCUUGGGUUAGCAGCACCCUCUUUCUGUCUAGGAAUCCUGGUUCUUGGGGUGCUGCCUCCCCGGAGAAAAAUGCUGGUUUUCCAGCCUCCUCUGCAGCCGAGGGGCAGCCAUGGGCCCGGCUCAGCCGACCAGGUGUUCCCACACGAGACACGGAUCUGUAGUGAGGUGUGCACAGGAGCGGGUGUGGGAGGCCCUACUGGGCAGAGAUGCCAGCUGGCCAGUCUCGUUUCCAAGGGACAGCGGCGCGUGGGGCUCGGGGCGGCGUCAGGCGUGCUGGCUGAGGGGCCCGUGGUGUCCCCACGGCCAGGCCUGCAGGGGGGCCCUCAGGCUCCUUCCCAGCCAUAUAGCCUCCGCAUUCGGGUCUCUGAUGCCCCCUCUCCGCUGAGAAACUGAUUGGGGAUCCAACUAAAACCCUGUCGUGAGCUCCUUUCCUCCGGAAGCAGGCUGUUGUCUCCUCUACCCUGGGCGCCCCGACCCCAGCCUCUAACGACGGAUGGAUCUUCUCGGGGGGGUCCUAGCGGGGUUCGGAAGGGCAGCCCUGGGCUCUGCUUUUUGUGACUGACACUUGUACAGGUGAAGUAAAGUUGAAAUCACUA